rnacentral:rRNA from 1 species
ACGGGAGGUAGCAGUGGGGAAUAUUGGACAAUGGAGGAAACUCUGAUCCAGCGACGCCGCGUGAGUGAAGAAGUAUUUCGGUAUGUAAAGCUCUAUCAGCAGGGAAGAAAAAUUCAAAAUUGACUGUACCUGACUAAGAAGCCCCGGCUAACUACGUGCCAGCAGCCGCGGUAAUACGUAGGGGGCAAGCGUUAUCCGGAAUUACUGGGUGUAAAGGGAGUGUAGGCGGUUUGGCAAGUCAGGUGUGAAAACCCUGGGCUUAACCUAGGGACUACAUUUGAAACAGUAAGACUAGAGUGUCGGAGGGGUAAGUGGAAUUCCUAGUGUAGCGGUGAAAUGCGUAGAUAUUAGGAAGAACACCGGUGGCGAAGGCGACUUACUGGACGACAACUGACGCUGAGGCUCGAAAGCGUGGGGAGCAAACAGGAUUAGAUACCCUGGUA